CCUACGGGGUGCAGCAGUGAGGAAUAUUGGUCAAUGGCCGGGAGGCUGAACCAGCCAAGUCGCGUGAGGGAAGACGGCCCUACGGGUUGUAAACCUCUUUUGUCAGGGAGCAAGGUGCAGGUCGGGACCUGCUGUGAGAGUACCUGAAGAAAAAGCAUCGGCUAACUCCGUGCCAGCAGCCGCGGUAAUACGGAGGAUGCGAGCGUUAUCCGGAUUUAUUGGGUUUAAAGGGUGCGCAGGCGGAGGCACAAGUCAGCGGUAAAAUCGCGGGGCUCAACCCCGCUCCGCCGGUGAAACUGUGUGCCUUGAGUGCGCGAAGGGUAGGCGGAAUGCGUGGUGUAGCGGUGAAAUGCAUAGAUAUCACGCAGAACUCCGAUCGCGAAGGCAGCCUACCGGCGCGCAACUGACGCUCAUGCACGAAAGCGUGGGUAUCGAACAGGAUUAGAUACCCGAGUAGUUC
rnacentral:rRNA from 1 species